UAGUUGAUGUCAGAGAAACGAACUCGAGCUACCUGCAGGAACACCGAAAGAACUGAUCCGCCGGACUGGCGCGAGAGACCUAAUCCACCAACGACAUGUGGAGACACUUGAGGAAAGCUCUUGCGAGUAACUUAAAAUAACUAACUUUAUCAGGAAUCAUUAAUAAUACAUAUAAAACGCGCCGGUUCCUUUUCACGUCGCAAUUUAGUGUGUUGCAGGAAUGCGUUGGAGUUUGUGCUCUGUUCGACUCCAACAUAUGCUCGUCUUUGAACAACAGCGACGUUGUUUAUGAAUUGGGGAAGAUUUGAAGUCAGGCUCAGCCAGUCCGGGGCGUCCGAGAGAGGGGGAGAGAGACGAGACAAGGGGAGGGAGGAGAGAGGAGAGAGGCGGGGAGGAGAGGAGAGGGGCGCCCAGAAAACGCCCUGCUGCUGAAUCCUCUCAAAAUUAAAACUUUAUCGCGCCAUUAACGGUACGCUCGCACUGAAGGAUGAGAAGUUUGAUUCGGCUCAAUUGUUUAAAGUAGCCACUUCAUAGAUUGUUUUGAGGGGGAAAGUUUGGAAAACCUCAAUUGUUCCCAUUGGAUUAUUAUUUUUUUGGUCCGCUUUAUUCUGGACAAGCACGGGGUACUUUUUGGAGGGCGGCGAGUCGGAGGCUGUCUAGGCCCGCUGCUCGACAACUUGAAAUAAGAUCUUGUAUCUUUAAUGUGAACCAGAAAAGUUGGGCAGAUCGCUCAUCAUUGCUCAGACUGGCGCCAGGACAAAGCAAAAAUGUCGCUAGGAGCGGAGAGAAGGAUGGAAACCCGGUUGAGAAAACUGGAAGCCAUGCUCAAAGAGCCGCGGUCUGCGAUCAACUUGGAAAGUUUGCUGGACUCCAUGAAUGCCAUGGUUUUAGAUUUGGAUUUUCCAGCCUUGCGUAAAAAUAAGAACAUUGAGACCUUCUUGAACAGAUAUGAGAAGGUUAUGGGCCAAAUGAGGGAGCUCCAGAUGAAGCCGGAUGAUUUUGACCGAGUGAAGGUGAUCGGUAGAGGAGCGUUUGGAGAAGUCCGGCUGGUUAGGCAUAAGGCCUCUCAGAAGGUGUAUGCUAUGAAGGUGCUCAGUAAGUUUGAAAUGAUCAAACGCUCAGAUUCUGCCUUCUUUUGGGAGGAGCGUGACAUCAUGGCGUUUGCUGACAGCCCAUGGGUCGUACAGCUGUGCUGUGCGUUCCAGGAUGACCGUUCUCUUUACAUGGUAAUGGAAUACAUGCCAGGAGGAGAUCUUGUCAAUCUCACCAGUACAUAUGAUGUUCCAGAGAAGUGGGCAAAGUUUUACACCGCUGAGGUUGUGUUGGCUCUGGACGCCAUUCACUCUAUGGGCUUUGUUCACCGAGACAUCAAACCAGACAACAUGCUGCUGGACCGCUGCGGACACCUCAAACUUGCCGACUUUGGGACCUGCAUGAAAAUGGAUGGGACGGGGAUGGUUCAUUGUGACACUGCGGUCGGGACCCCUGAUUACAUCUCGCCGGAGGUUCUUAAGUCUCAGGGAGGGGAUGGAUACUACGGACGCGAGUGUGACUGGUGGUCAGUUGGAGUAUUUAUCUACGAGAUGCUGGUUGGUGAUACACCGUUUUAUGCCGAUUCUCUGGUCGGGACCUACAGUAAGAUUAUGGACCAUAAGAACUCCCUUAACUUCCCUGAUGACGUUGAGAUCUCUCAAGAAGCCAAAAACAUCAUCUGUGCCUUCCUAACAGAGAGGGAUAUUCGACUGGGACGAAAUGGCGUAGAAGAAAUUAAAAGACAUCCUUUCUUCAAAAACGACCAGUGGACAUUCAUCACCAUCAGAGAGACUGCAGCACCUGUGGUUCCAGAGCUGAUCAGUGACAUAGACACCAGUAAUUUUGAUGAGAUAGAGGAAGAUAAAGGAGAAGUAGAGACCUUUCCCACACCUAAAGCCUUUGUUGGCAAUCAGCUGCCCUUUGUGGGGUUCACUUACUUUAAAGAAGACCAGUUGUUGAAUGCUGUUAACAGUUCAGCAAUGAAAAAAGAUCCAGUAUCCAAGACAGAGGACAGUUUAGCUCUCCAGAAGAAAAUUAACUCUUUAGAAGAGCAGCUCAACAAUGAAAUGCAGACCAAAGAGGAGUUGGAGCAAAAAUACAGAAGCAACUGUAGCCGCCUAGAGAAGAUCACCAAAGAGCUUGAUGAAGAAAUUAAUAGCAGAAAAGGGUUGGAGACGACUCUGAGACAGCUGGAGAGAGAGAAAGCUCUCCUGCAGCACAAGAGCGUAGAGAGUCACCGCAGGGCAGAGAGUGAAGCCGACCGCAAACGCUGCUUAGAGAAUGAAGUGAACAAUCUGAGGGAUCAGCUGGAUGAAAUGAAGAAGAAAAACCAGAACUCUCACAUCUCCAAUGAGAAGAACAUCCACCUGCAGAAACAGCUGGAUGAGGCAAAUGCGUCACUGCGGGCGGAAUCUGAUGCUGCUGCAAGGCUGCGUAAAGCUCAGACAGAGAGCUCAAAACAGCUGCAGCAGCUGGAGGCUCACGUGAGAGAACUGCAGGACAAAUGCUGCAUGCUGGAGAACAGCAAGCUCACACUAGAGAGAGACAACAUCAGCCUGCAGGCUGCGCUGGACGCAGAGAAACGAGAGCACACCCAGGGCUCUGAGACUAUCUCUGAUCUACAGGCACGCAUCUCUGGUUUGGAGGAGGAAGUGAAACAGGUGAGACAGGCCCUGUCUAAAGCUGAGAUGGAGAAAAGGCAACUCCAGGAGAAGCUUACAGACCUGGAAAAGGAGAAGAGCAAUAACCAGAUUGACAUGACCUAUAAGCUGAAGAUUUUGCAGCAGGGUUUGGAGCAGGAGGAGGCGGCACACAAGGCCACAAAAGCACGACUUGCUGAUAAGAACAAGAUCAGCGAGUCCAUCGAAGGAGCCAAAUCUGAGGCUGUGAAGGAGCUGGAACAGAAGCUGCAGGAGGAACGUUCCUCUAAACUGCGUGUAGAGAACAGGGUGUUAGAACUGGAGAAGAAGAACUCCAUGCUUGACUGCGACUAUAAACAGUCACUGCAGAAACUAGAGGAAUUGCGACGACGCAAAGAGAGACUCACAGAAGAGGUGAAUAAUCUGAGUCUGAAGAUUGAGCAAGAGAUUCAGAAACGCGCUUUGACUCAGAAUGACCUAAAGGUUCAGAACCAGCAGCUCAACACCCUGCGAACUUCAGAGAAACAACUCAAACAGGAGAUAAACCACCUGUUGGAAAUCAAACGUAGCCUUGAGAAGCAAAAUAUGGAACUGCGCAAGGAGCGUCAGGAUUCUGAUGGACAGAUGAAGGAACUACAGGAUCAGUUGGAGGCAGAGCAGUAUUUCUCUACGCUGUAUAAGACACAGGUGCGGGAGCUGAAGGAAGAGUGUGAGGAGAAAAAUAAACUCUAUAAAGACAUGCAGCAGAGUCUACAGGAGCUACAGGAGGAAAGGGAUUCUCUUGCGGCCCAGUUAGAGAUCACACUAACGAAGGCUGACUCGGAGCAGCUGGCGCGCUCAAUUGCAGAGGAGCAGUAUUCCGACCUGGAGAAGGAGAAGAUCAUGAAGGAGCUGGAGAUCAAAGAGAUGAUGGCCAGACACAGACAGGAGCUCGCUGAAAAAGACACCACCAUCACCUCAUUAGAGGAAGCUAAUCGCACAUUGACGAAUGAUGUGGCAAACUUGGCCAAUGAGAAAGAAGAACUGAACAACAAGCUAAAGGAAACACAAGACUACCUGCAGAAUCUCAAGAAUGAAGAGCAGUCAAUCAUUCAAGUGAAACUAGCCCUUGAGAAACAGCUUCAGUCGGAGAGAACUCUCAAAACACAGGCGGUGAACAAGCUGGCAGAGAUCAUGAAUAGAAAGGAGGUCAGAGGUGGUGGAAGUCGCCGUGGAAAUGAUACAGACGUGAGGAGGAAGGAGAAAGAAAACAGGAAGUUGCAGCUGGAGCUGCGUUCUGAGAGGGAGAAGCUCAACAGUUCUAUUAUCAAAUACCAGAGAGAAAUCAAUGACAUGCAAGCGCAACUGGCAGAUGAGUCUCAGGUGCGUGUUGAGCUGCAGAUGGCUCUGGACAGUAAAGACAGCGAUAUCGAGCAGCUGCGCAGCCUGCUGAACUCUCUAAACAUCCAGUCGCUGGACUCUGCCAGUAUGAGCAGCGGCCCAGAAAUGGACACUGAUGAAUCACUAGCAGAGACAAGACUGGAGGGUUGGCUAUCUUUACCAGUGAGGAACAACACCAAACGAUUUGGGUGGGAAAGGAAGUAUGUUGUGGUGAGCAGCAAGAAGAUUCUCUUCUACAACAGUGAGCAGGACAAAGAGCUUUCGAAUCCUUACAUGGUGUUGGACAUAGAUAAACUUUUUCAUGUGCGUUCGGUGACCCAGACGGACGUCUACCGUGCUGACGCCAAAGAGAUCCCCAGAAUAUUCCAGAUCUUGUACGCUAAUGAGGGUGAAAGCAAGAAAGAGCAAGAACUGGAACCUCUUCCUGGGGACAAGUCCAGCUACAUUUGCCAUAAGGGUCAUGAGUUUAUUCCCACCCUGUACCACUUCCCAACGAACUGUGAAGCCUGUACCAAACCCCUGUGGAACAUGUUUAAACCACCUCCAGCUCUCGAAUGCAGACGAUGUCACAUCAAGUGCCACAAAGACCACAUGGACAAGAAAGAGGAAAUCAUUGCUCCGUGUAAAGUGAACUAUGACGUGUCUAUGGCUAAAAAUCUGCUGCUGUUAGCAUUGUCUCAGGAGGAACAGCAGAAGUGGGUUAGUCGGCUCAUGAAGAAGAUCCCCAAAAAACCUCCAGCACCUGAUGCCUCUCACCGCUCUUCUCCCAGAGCUCCUAUUAAAGUACAGAACAGUCAAUCCUUAAAGAGAUCCAGCCGACCAAUACCCCCCGGCAAACCCAGUCCCCCUCAACUGGACACACCAAAGAUGAGGCGAGAAGACUCCACCAACAGCCUUCUGAACAAAUGAGUCCGUUUGAUUACCAUGUUUACAAACUCUUUAUUAAGAAGACAUUUCAGCUGUAAUUCUCUUUUUAUUUGUUCCCUUUUGCUAUGAAAGUUUGCCACUUGUGUGUGUUUGCAGGUGUAUUGAUCUUCUUCUCUUGAGCAUGAUGGCACGCUGUGGUGCUUUUUUUUUUUUUUUUAUGAACAAAGGAUUUUUCUUUCCUCUUGCGUUAAAAUGUGGUGAAACUAACUUUCUCUUUGUCUUUCUCGAUUUCUCCCUCCUUCUCUAGUUAACCUUAUAUUGGGAUUCUGGUGCUGCUACAUGGUGAUUUGGGGUUCUUCCUAUCACAUCAACAAAAGACCUUUAUAACUUUUCGCACAUUUUGGCAAAUCCCCAAAAAGUGAGAGAUGUACAAAUGUUGAAGAAGGCUUUGCUGUCGUGAUAUGGCUUUUAUUCUCUGGGCAUACGGUUGCUUCGACUUCAACAGCACAGCAGUUCUACACAAAACUAAAGGGUCAGCGUCACACCAAACUACUUCAUUCAAGGCCAGAGUUGACCUGAACGCUAAGACUGAACCCCGCUGGACCGGCCAGAGAAUGUGGACGACAGCUGUGUCCGACCAUAGGCUUUUUUUUUUUUUUUAAUGGCUGAAUAUAGACAGUAGUGCAACACACCACAUACAGUAAACGGCUAGAAAACACCACUACAUAUGUUUCUCAUUACUUACAUAAAUGCAAUGAAACUGUAGUGUUUCUUCUUGUAGUGUUUUUACUUUUGUUUACCCCACUGUGUGAUCAAAGCUUGAUUAAACCUUCUCUGGUUAUGAAUGCAUUCCAUAAUGCUCUCCUGGACACCUGCACUGCUCACUCCUCAGUAUGAAUCGAAUGUAAUGAUGGUAUGAUUAACAGAUCUACAUCUAGAUGUGAGCUGUGCACGUGGGCAGGAGUUUCUUUUUUUUUUUGUGAUUUGAAGUCAGUUUUUUGUUUGUUUCUUCACCCUAGCAAACAGUGUGUAUCUCUGGGUGUGCUGUGACUGCAUAUCAGUGUUCUUUUACACGUUAUAUAUAUAAAUAUAUGAAUAUACAGCGUAUAUUUGACCUGCCGUCUUACCAGUUGGUUUGCUAUUUAUACAGGUCUGGGCACUUUUUUUAUUUUAUUUUAAAGCUCUGCCUCCAGAUUUGCAUGUUUUAUAUUGAUGUACUGUUUGACAAUAAAAUGAAAAGCAUAUGUAGCUUUGUUGUUUGGAAACCCUGUAUAACUUUUGCUUAUUUUUGUAAACACAAGUAGUUGGUUAAAUAGGUAUAUAGCUGUGAAUGUAGUAAAAAGGAAGUAAAGUUUUAAUAUAAACAAUGUGGUCAUUACUUUGUCUGCUUCAAUCACAGAAGUUAUACAUU